UUCAUAGAAAUUUAUGUCUAUUUUUAUCUAUCAAAUUAAUAAGAAUGCUUGUAUUUUAGAUGAAAAUAUACUUAAACAAUUUUGCACGGGGGGGGAUUAUGAUUGAUGGCGGUGGUGGAAGUGGUGGACGCGGUGGAUAUAGAAGAGUACGUGGUGGACGUGGUGGAGGAAGGAGAGGAGGAAAUGGACAAAUGAAAGUUUUUAGGGGAUAUUGCAAUUUUUGCAAAAAAAAUUGGCCACAAAGAGCGGGAGUGCUCCAAGAAAGAGGCUCCAGUUACAGCGGCUCCAGCAGCGGUGGCGGCUCCAGCAGCGGUGACGGCUGCAGUAGCGGUGGCAGCUCCAGCAAUUAUGGGGGGAGAAAUUAAAAUUUUUUUUUUUUUAAUAAAGAUUUUUUUUAACACUGAGUUUUUUAAUUAAUAGUUGAUUUUGCUUUUGUUAUAAGUCAAACGUGAACUCAUGUAGUUUAUUUCAGACUUUGAAAGAUUUUUCAGUAACACAUUAAUUAAAAUUAAAAUGUCUUCUGUGUAAGUAAAGUGAAUAAACAUUUAACAUUACAGAGAUUGCGAUAUUUCUGUAUAAAAUUAUUUUAAUUCAUUAGUUAUUUGCAUAUUGAAAGAUGAUCUGAGGGUGUCCAGUUACUUUUACUAAACUAAUAGAAGGAUUUUGAAAUUUUAUAUACAGAGUAAUCACAAUUAGGUAAGAUACUUAUUUUCAAUAUUUUCU